rnacentral:rRNA from 1 species
AUUGAACGCUGGCGGCAGGCCUAACACAUGCAAGUCGAGCGGUAGAGAGGUGCUUGCAUCUCUUGAGAGCGGCGGACGGGUGAGUAAUGCCUAGGAAUCUGCCUAGUGGUGGGGGAUAACGUUCGGAAACGGACGCUAAUACCGCAUACGUCCUACGGGAGAAAGCGGGGGAUCUUCGGACCUCGCGCCAUUAGAUGAGCCUAGGUCGGAUUAGCUAGUUGGUGAGGUAAUGGCUCACCAAGGCGACGAUCCGUAACUGGUCUGAGAGGAUGAUCAGUCACACUGGAACUGAGACACGGUCCAGACUCCUACGGGAGGCAGCAGUGGGGGAAUAUUGGACAAUGGGCGGAAAGCCUGAUCCAGCCAUGCCGCGUGUGUGAAGAAGGUCUUUCGGAUUGUAAAGCACUUUAAGUUGGGAGGAAGGGUAGGUAACCUAAUACGUUGCUACUUUGACGUUACCGACAGAAUAAGCA